CCAGAGCUCGGGGCCACAGCCCAGAGGCUGCAGAGAGCGCGUCCCGUUUCCCUGGGGACCAGGCGGAGAGUGGGAGGGGCCGUGCCUGCCGUCCCCGGGGAGGAGGCGCAAACAGGGUCUCCCAUUGGCUGCUGCUGUCCCGGGAGCAAGCAGGACCUAAGGGGCAGGAAAAGCGACAGGUGGGAGCUCAGGGCUGGGGGGAGGGCGCUUCUCUCUCCUCCUCCUGGCGUGCCCCAUCCCCCGCCACGUUGUGGUCAAUUGCCUCCCCACCACCCCUGGCUCCCUCGCCUCCAGACGGAGGGGACUGGGAAUUCCCGAGAGACUGGAGGAUCACGGGAGCAGAGAGAGAUCCGAGAACUCAGGGACCAAGAAGUCCAACUGCCUCACUCUACUGGUGAGGAAACUGAGGGUCUUCUGGAGAGGGGAGAAGGCCAAGGAGAUCAGAGCCUCGAGGAUAUAUUCAUCGAAGCUUUCAUUCCCAAGAAGCUGACUGACUGGUCUGCUAACUGCUGCUGUCUGAAAAUAUGCCUGUUCCUGACUGCUGUUGCUGCUGGUGCUACUUCUGUCAAGUGGAUUUCAAAAGAGCUGUUACUGAGACUGCUGCUUGAAUCAAAGAGGACUCCUGUGUUGUGAGAUUCUUUAGCCCUGGUCCUUGUUCCUACCAAACCCCCUUAACAUUAAUUACUAAUUUAAGAAUUUAAUUUAGAAUAAUUAUAGAAGGUAUAAGGGUUUUAAUCUCUGAGUUAAGAGUUAUGUAUUCCCUAAUUCCCCUUUUCCUUUAACCCUUUAGGCAAAUAACCCUGUUACUUUAUAUAUAUAGUUAGUUAGUUAGUUAGUUAGCUAAUUAGUUACUUAGUUAGUUUUGAAUCCUUCUUUUAACCCAUCUAUUACAUGGUAUUUGUUGCUAGGCAAUUUUUUCCUACCUCUUUCCUAUAUUUCCCACUUUAAUAUCUCUGCCUUGCUGUAAAUAAAAGCUGCCAACAGUCAUUUUGACUUAAGAAG
rnacentral:lncRNA from 1 species